rnacentral:tRNA from 1 species
CAGGGAGACAACAAAAUGUUUAAUAUUAUUAUUUUGUCACCUUAGGUCGAUCGGUAUCUCACUUUCUUAAUUUAUUAAGAAUUUCAUUUCCUAAGUUUUUUCUAGGUCACACCNAUUAUUUUCCUGGGCCAUUAGNUCAGGNGGCCAGAGAGCACCCCUGAUAAGGGUGAGGUCCCUGGUUCAAGUCCAGGAUGGCCCAUAUCUCUAUGGUGGGGGUAUAGCUCAGUUGGAAGAGCGCCUGCUUUGCAAGAAGGAUGUCAUNNNUUCGAGUCCGUUUACCUCCACUGAUUACCACCUCUUCCAUAACAUGUAAUAAGGCAAAUUUUUUGAGUCNNGACCAAAAUUCUGAACCAAUCUAUCAUCCUAAUGUAAUCAUUAAGACGCGGGACUCAUUGAAUUAANNUCAUUGUNUUCNAGAACCUUGACAACUGCAUCUAUUAUUUUUAAAGACAAUAAGCAUCUUUAAUGAUGCAGAUUUAUNAUUUGUGCAAAUGCAUUACUAACAAUUCUAUUAAGCUGAUGCNUCAAUUUUGANNUUAUUG